UACAGAGGUCCCGAGCGUUGUUCGGAUUCAUUGGGCGUAAAGGGUGUGUAGGCGGACUUUUAAGUCAGGGGUGAAAUCUCUGGGCUCAACCCAGAAACUGCCUUUGAUACUAUUAGUCUUGAAUCUUGUUGAGGUGGGCGGAACGGGUCAUGUAGCGGUGAAAUGCAUAGAUAUGACCCGGAACACCGAUUGCGAAGGCAGCCCGCUAAGCAAGCAUUGACGCUGAGGCACGAAAGCGUGGGGAUCAAACAGG
rnacentral:rRNA from 1 species